CCGUUUUAAAUUUCCUUUAGUGUCCCUUAACUUACAUACCGAGUUACAUAUGCUGUAAGGCACCAUACUAUUAGGCUCGCGAUUGAUUUGGCGGCACAAAACUCAUGGCCUAUUUUCCAAGCAAAUUGUAGGAAAGAAAAUUGCUUAGCUUUACGGCUAGUGAUUAUGAUGGAGAUGUUGAUUAUCAGAAAUGCAUUUUAGGAUAUGUUUUGACUUUUGAUGCUUGGUUUUGGAGUGUUUCAUGGUAUUCAAAAUAGCAAUAAGUUAGUACUUUAUCAAUACAUAAAGCAGAGCUUUUUGCUCCAACAACAUGUGAUUGUUUUAAGGUGCAAUCAAUUUGUCACUUUGUAAACUCCUGUAAUGUGACCAAGUUACUGUCACUACAGGAAAAUAAAAGGGCUAUUUCUGCUGCAAAGGAAACAAUGAAUGGCUCUCUUAGUUGCAUUAUUUACUUCUAAAAUAAAACCAUUAUAUAAUCGGUUCAAUUCCUGGAUAAAAUAAUUUUUUAUCAGACUUUACUUAUCUCCUCAGUUUGAUUCCUGAAUAUUAAAGGAUAUAAUGGAUAGUUUGAAGCGCCAUAGGAUAUUUUUAAACCGUCUCAAAAGUUUUUGAUUUAAUUUCUUCAUCAAUAUCUAUUUUACAAUGACUUUGUUAUUUGAGAAAGUUCCUACAAACUACAACAUAAGAUCAACUAUCUAGGUGUAAAACUAGUUACCGUAAGUUCGUUAAAACUUUUUGAAGUUGAAUCUUCAUUGGGCAGUCUUCCGACAGAAAAUGCUGGUCUUUCGGGUUUUGGAAGGACCAUCGUGUUGCUCCCUAGCAUGAGAACAACAGUGGACAUAGUUGGUC
rnacentral:lncRNA from 1 species